rnacentral:rRNA from 1 species
CAAUAGCGUAUAUUAAAGUUGUUGCAGUUAAAAGCUCGUAGUUGGAUUUGUGGCGUACGGUGUGUUCCGGGCACUUGUUGUCUGAGUAACCUGCUGUUGCCAUCCUUGGGUGGAACCUGUGUGGCAUUAGGUUGUCGUGCAGGGGAUGCCCAUCAUUUACUAUGAAAAAAUUAGAGUGUUCAAAGCAGGCUUAUGCCGUUGAAUAUAUUAGCAUGGAAUAAUGAGAUAGGACUUUUUUGCUAUUUUGUUGGUUUGCGCAAAGAGGUAAUGAUUAAUAGGGACAGUUGGGGGUAUUCGUAUUCCAUUGUCAGAGGUGAAAUUCUUGGAUUUUUGGAAGACGAACUACUGCGAAAGCAUUUACCAAGGAUGUUUUCAUUAA